GAUUGAACGCUGGCGGCAUGCCUUCCCCAUGCAAGUCGAACGGUAACAGGUUAAGCUGACGAGUGGCGAACGGGUGAGUAAUGUAUCGGAACGUGCCCAGUCGUGGGGGAUAACUGCUCGAAAGAGCAGCUAAUACCGCAUACGACCUGAGGGUGAAAGCGGGGGAUCGCAAGACCUCGCGCGAUUGGAGCGGCCGAUAUCAGAUUAGGUAGUUGGUGAGGUAAAGGCUCACCAAGCCGACGAUCUGUAGCUGGUCUGAGAGGACGACCAGCCACACUGGGACUGAGACACGGCCCAGACUCCUACGGGAGGCAGCAGUGGGGAAUUUUGGACAAUGGGCGCAAGCCUGAUCCAGCCAUGCCGCGUGCGGGAAGAAGGCCUUCGGGUUGUAAACCGCUUUUGUCAGGGAAGAAAAGGUUCUGGCUAAUACCUGGGACUCAUGACGGUACCUGAAGAAUAAGCACCGGCUAACUACGUG
rnacentral:rRNA from 1 species